rnacentral:rRNA from 1 species
AACCCGAACUAAUAGACCUACGGCGUAAAGCGUGUUACAGAGAAAAGUAUACUAAAGUUAAACCUUAACUAGGCCGUAAAAAGCUACAGUUAACAUGAAAAUACAGCACGAAAGUAACUUUAACAUCUCCAACUACACGAUAGCUAAGACCCAAACUGGGAUUAGAUACCCCACUAUGCUUAGCCCUAAACCUAGAUAGUUAACUUAAACAAAACUAUCCGCCAGAGAACUACUAGCAACAGCUUAAAACUCAAAGGACUUGGCGGUGCUUUACAUCCCUCUAGAGGAGCCUGUUCUAUAAUCGAUAAACCCCGAUACACCUCACCAUCUCUUGCUAAUU